CUAAUAUAAUCGUAUCUUAUCUUCUUCAGGCACGAGAAAAACAUUCGCUCGUUUUUGUGGCAAACGCUAUGGUUCGAAGAGAAGUUUAAGUUAUCAUGCUAAGAGCCACACCGGAGAGACAAAUUGUCCAAUUUGCGGCAAGCAGCUUUCAAGGACUCAUUAUCUCCGAAGACACAUUCAGAUGGUCCAUGGCCAAACAUCGUAAAAAAUAUCACCUUUGAUUCCAUAUGCAUGUUCAUCCCUUCUCCGUUUACAUGUUCCUUUGGAUUUGUUGUUGAUACUAACAUUUUUGAAAGAAAUGAAAAUUAAAUUUUUGAGAUGAAAAAGGCAAAGCGUUAAUUUUUACAAUUUAUCUUACUCAGGUGCCGAAAGAAAAUUCGCUUGUUUUUGCGGCAACCGCUAUAGUUCGAAACGAAGUUUGGCGGCCCACAGAGAGAUCCAUACGGGAGGAACGGAUUGUCCCAUUUGUGGCAGACAACUAUCAACGAAACAAAACCUUCACAAGCACAUCCAAUUGACGCAUCGUUUAUAUAAGAAAAAUGCAGCCUUACUGUAGCCCGGAGCCCAGCGAAGUACAAAAAGAAAGUUUGCUUGUUUCUGUGGGAGCCUCUACAGUUCGAAGCAGAGUUUGGCGCACCAUAGAAAGAGCCACACUGGAGAGACGGAUUGUCCAAUUUGCGGCAGACAUCUAUCAACAAAAGCCAAUCUUCAAAUGCACAUUAUAAUGGUGCAUAAGAGGAGUUCGUAAACUCCCUAAUCAAUCGGCACUAGGAAGGAGGGAGCCACGCCCCGUGAUCACUUCGCGGUCCAGCCUUUCGGAGCGCCUCGCGCCUCAGGCGGUCUGCGUUACAGUCAUUACACGUUACUCUUACAUUAUAAUUUUAUAUCAUAAAGUAUGAUACGUCUUGUAACUCUGCCGUAUUAUCCAAAGUGAGCAGUCAUGCCCAAAGUUUCGACGUAGAGUUUCUUCCAAAAUUCAUUCAAUACAGAUUAUAUCAAACGA